AUUGAAACAUGUCCCUGGUUCUUCCUCGCCCGUCCAACCUCCCCAUUGCUGCCCCACCACCUCGUCAUCCCCAUGGUGUCUGCUCUCGUCUUCCUCGGAGAAGGCAAAAUUCAGCCCAUGCUCGAGUGGUUGGCCCUCCCUAGGGCACGGCGCGGCACGGUUGGCCAGGGCGGUUCUCAGCCCGGUUCACCUUUUUCUCUACAGGAAUGGGCCCAAGAUCCGAGUCCUCGUAGAUGGAGAGGGUGGACAUCUGGCAUCGAUAUAAGGCCGGCUAGACGAGGAAGCCAGACAACCCAUACUAACCCUCGUCUAGAAGAUUCCGGCGCACCGCGCGAGUCGGAAAGAGACAUCAAGAAAGACGCUGGAGUAAGGAAGGAAGCUAAUCAGAAGAAUUGAUGAAGAUGUUUUCAACCGCUCUUUUGGCUGGUCUCUUGUCGAUCGUCGCAUUAUGAAAAUAAAGGCGCAAAACGAUGGAGCUGGUUUGCCAGCAUAUAGAAGCUUUUCCACCUGGUCGUAAGCUGCUUUUGACGGCCUGAACUCAGUGGUGUGUGGUUGCUUGUAAGGCUGCCUCCAACAAUACCCUGUAAAGCAUCCGGUACCCUAUAUUUAGCGUUUCCAAUCGUUCGCUACGCGUCCAACAAGGAUCGGUAAAACAUCCGCUAAAACAUAGCGUCUGUCCGGCGAUCGCUAAAUGUGGCGUUUCUCUCUCCAUCCUCUAUCCAUGUGCGUGCUCGAUAUUUUCGUACAAGUCGCCAGCAGUGCUACGACAGUUACCCAUCCACCACCGUGCUAUGGCUGUCGGGGGCGGAGCUUCCACGCCACGGUGGUGCAGCUCGAGGACCAACAAGCGGGGAUGAAAGCCCUCAACGCCAUGGCCAUGGGGGCAGAGCUUCGACGCUGCGACAGCGCAGGUAGUAGCCUCGGCUGUGACAUCCGCAUCAGCGUGCUCGAGCCAACAUGGGAGGCCACCAUUGUUGCCGGGGAAGGCCCACUAUGACAGCCUGGUGGAGUAGCUUGCGAAUGCAACGAUGUGGACAAAUGCAGCGAUGUGGUGUCCACCGUGUGUGCGAGUAGCUAGGCCGCCAACAGUGAUCUGUGCCAAAUGCUGGACGACGCAUGAUACAUGUUUGAUGAAAUGGUCAGCCGACGUCUAGUACCAGCUUUUGUUCC